GGCGAGGUGCCCGGGAUCUGGUGAGGUGGAGGAGGGCAGCGCACAGUGCCCAGAGAUGGAGGGGGUGCGCAAGAAACAACUUCCUGCUCCCCUGGCCCAGAGCGCAGGACCUGCGGGGAGAAGUUCUAGGCCUCAGCUUUGCUCUCUCGGAGCCGGACGACUACACCGCUGCCCCUCUGGCCGCGCGGUUCCUUCCCGCGCCCCUCCCCGGGUCGCGACCGGCCGGGCUCCAGGGUCCCGACACUGGUUAGAAUGCCAAGGAGGCUGAAGCAGCUUUUCCUGCGGCCUCCGCAGGGGCGCCUGAGUGGUUUCCCCGCAGAGGAGCCGGCCUGGGCCUCCGGUGCUCGGUGCUCGGGGACGCCAACACGAGGUCACUACGCUUGGACCCCCUCCCACAGCCCCGGUAUGCCCUCCCUCAGAGUCAGAUGGACCUGGCUGUCCCCAGACGCCUGCGACAGGGGCCCGAUU